rnacentral:rRNA from 1 species
GACGAACGCUGGCGGCGUGCUUAACACAUGCAAGUCGAGCGGUAAGGCCCUUUCGGGGGUACACGAGCGGCGAACGGGUGAGUAACACGUGGGUGACCUGCCUUUAGCUCUGGGAUAAGCCUGGGAAACCGGGUCUAAUACCGAAUAUGACUCCGCGGCGCAUGUUGUGGGGUGGAAAGCCUUGUGCGGCUGGAGAUGGGCCCGCGGCCUAUCAGCUUGUUGGUGGGGUGAUGGCCUACCAAGGCGACGACGGGUAGCCGGCCUGAGAGGGCGACCGGCCACACUGGGACUGAGACACGGCCCAGACUCCUACGGGAGGCAGCAGUGGGGAAUCUUGCGCAAUGGGCGAAAGCCUGACGCAGCGACGCCGCGUGAGGGAUGACGGCC